rnacentral:lncRNA from 1 species
AUUUUAAUGCCAAAUUAUAGUUUUGACCCCAAUUUCAUGGUCCACUGAACAUAGAAAAUGAUAGUGCAAAGUUCAGGUUAAAGUUUUUGGUCAAGGUAGUUUUUGAUGAAGUUAAAGUUACAUCAACUUGAAACUUAGUACACAUGUUCCCUAUGAUAUGAUCUUUCUAAUUUUAAUUCCAAAUUAAAGUUUUGACCCCAAUUUCACGGUCCACU